UGAUCAAAUGACUAGAAAAAUAAAACUGUAACAACAUGGUUGGAUUUAUUUCAAUGAUUUCUUGUAUUCAAGUCUCUAAUAACC